rnacentral:rRNA from 1 species
AUUGAACGCUGGCGGCAGGCCUAACACAUGCAAGUCGAGCGGAUGAAGGGAGCUUGCUCCUGGAUUCAGCGGCGGACGGGUGAGUAAUGCCUAGGAAUCUGCCUGGUAGUGGGGGAUAACGUCCGGAAACGGGCGCUAAUACCGCAUACGUCCUGAGGGAGAAAGUGGGGGAUCUUCGGACCUCACGCUAUCAGCUGAGCCUAGGUCGGAUUGGCUAGUUGGUGGGGUAAAGGCCUACCAAGGCGACGAUCCGUAACUGGUCUGAGAGGAUGAUCAGUCACAUGGGACCGGAGAACCGGUCCGGACCCCUACGGGAGGAGGAAGAGGGGAAUAUUGGCAAUGGGGCGAAGGCCUAAUGCAGAAAUGCGGGGUGGGGGAAGAAGGUUUUCGAAUGUAAAAGCCCGUUGUGUUGGGAGAAAGGGCAGGAGGUUAAAACCUUCCUGUUGUGACGGUACCAAAAGAGAAAGCAACGGCUAACUACGUG